UCAACGGAGAGUUUGAUUCUGGCUCAGGACGAACGCUGGCGGCGUGCUUAACACAUGCAAGUCGAACGAUGAAGCCUAGCUUGCUAGGUGGAUUAGUGGCGAACGGGUGAGUAAUACGUGAGUAACCUACCUUUAACUCUGGGAUAAGCCUGGGAAACUGGGUCUAAUACCGGAUACGACCAAUCUCCGCAUGGGGUGUUGGUGGAAAGCGUUAUGUAGUGGUUAUAGAUGGGCUCACGGCCUAUCAGCUUGUUGGUGAGGUAACGGCUCACCAAGGCGACGACGGGUAGCCGGCCUGAGAGGGUGACCGGCCACACUGGGACUGAGACACGGCCCAGACUCCUACGGGAGGCAGCAGUGGGGAAUAUUGCACAAUGGGCGCAAGCCUGAUGCAGCGACGCCGCGUGAGGGAUGACGGCCUUCGGGUUGUAAACCUCUGUUAGCAGGGAAGAAGAGAGAUUGACGGUACCUGCAGAGAAAGCGCCGGCUAACUACGUGCCAGCAGCCGCGGUAAUACGUAGGGCGCGAGCGUUGUCCGGAAUUAUUGGGCGUAAAGAGCUUGUAGGCGGUUUGUCGCGUCUGCUGUGAAAGGCCGGGGCUUAACCCCGUGUAUUGCAGUGGGUACGGGCAGACUAGAGUGCAGUAGGGGAGACUGGAAUUCCUGGUGUAGCGGUGGAAUGCGCAGAUAUCAGGAGGAACACCGAUGGCGAAGGCAGGUCUCUGGGCUGUAACUGACGCUGAGAAGCGAAAGCAUGGGGAGCGAACAGGAUUAGAUACCCUGGUAGUCCAUGCCGUAAACGUUGGGCACUAGGUGUGGGGGACAUUCCACGUUUUCCGCGCCGUAGCUAACGCAUUAAGUGCCCCGCCUGGGGAGUACGGCCGCAAGGCUAAAACUCAAAGAAAUUGACGGGGGCCCGCACAAGCGGCGGAGCAUGCGGAUUAAUUCGAUGCAACGCGAAG
rnacentral:rRNA from 1 species